AUUGAACGCUGGCGGCAGGCCUAACACAUGCAAGUCGAGCGGAUGAAGGCAGCUUGCUCCUGGAUUCAGCGGCGGACGGGUGAGUAAUGCCUAGGAAUUUGCUUGGUAGUGGGGGAUUACGUCCGGAAACGGGCGCUAAUACCGCAUACGUCCUGAGGGAGAAAGUGGGGGAUCUUCGGAUUUCACGCUAUCAGAUGAGUCUAGGUCGGAUUAGCUAGUUGGUGGGGUAAAGGCCUACCAAGGCGGCGAUCUGUAACUGGUCUGAGAGGGUGAUCAGUCACACUGGAAGUGAGACACGGUCCAGACUCCUACGGGAGGCAGCAGGGGGGAAUAUUGGACGAUGGGCGGAAGCCUGAUCCAGCCAGGCCGCGUGUGUGAAGAAGGUCUUCGGAUGGUAAAGCACUUUAAGUUGGGAGGAAAGGCAGUAAGUUAAUACCUUGCUGUUUUGACGUUACCAACAGAAGAAGCGCCGGCUAACUACGUG
rnacentral:rRNA from 1 species